rnacentral:rRNA from 1 species
CCUACGGGUGGCAGCAGUGGGGAAUAUUGGACAAUGGGGGCAACCCUGAUCCAGCCAUGCCGCGUGUGUGAAGAAGGCCCUCGGGUUGUAAAGCACUUUCAGUGAGGAAGAACGCCUGGUGGUUAAUACCCAACAGGAAAGACAUCACUCACAGAAGAAGCACCGGCUAACUCCGUGCCAGCAGCCGCGGUAAUACGGAGGGUGCGAGCGUUAAUCGGAAUUACUGGGCGUAAAGCGCGCGUAGGUGGCUUGAUAAGCCGGUUGUGAAAGCCCCGGGCUCAACCUGGGAACGGCAUCCGGAACUGUCAAGCUAGAGUGCAGGAGAGGAAGGUAGAAUUCCCGGUGUAGCGGUGAAAUGCGUAGAGAUCGGGAGGAAUACCAGUGGCGAAGGCGGCCUUCUGGACUGACACUGACACUGAGGUGCGAAAGCGUGGGUAGCAAACAGGAUUAGAUACCCCGGUAGUC